GUCUGGUGUACAUGCCUAGUCGGUAGAGCAUGAGGCUCUUAAUCUCAGGGUUGUGAGUUAAAGCCCCACAUUGGGCA
rnacentral:tRNA from 1 species